UGUGCUACGUGCAGGAAGGAGCGGCUGGCGUUCCCUGAGUUGCCCGGCGUCAGAGCAUUGUGUCUUCACUUGCCGGCCCUUGGUCACUGCAACCAAGGCUGUUGUUUCUUCUCGCCAAGCCUCAGAAUAGCACGUUGCAGAAUGGCUGCCUACCAUUGGGAAGCGCGCCGCAAACAAAUAAUAAUGGAGCACCGGCUGCGGCUGAUGCAGAGAUCAAGCAGGAUCGUUGCCUAUGCCAGACAGAGCAUGUUCCAAGUCAAAGCGGUAAACUGCUCAAAAGAUAUAAGGUAAGAUGACAGAAGGAUAGGUUUUUCUUCCCUGCUGCUGGAGACCUAUUUAUCCCCAGAUCUGAAAUGGGGCCGAUUUCAGUCUAGUUCAGGAAUGUUGCAAUUUUUUUAAAAAAGUGCUAUUGGACAAUCUAGAUCAGGGAUGUCAAACUCAAGGCCUGGGGGCCGGAUUCGGCCCAUG
rnacentral:lncRNA from 1 species